ACCGGCUUCACUCCGGGUUCGGGUUAUGAUUGUGACUCACGUUCAGAUCCGUUUUACUGACGGUAAAUCCGCAUAACAGUCCGUCUCAUUUCACGCCUUCCAUAUGACUUCGGCACGGAGUCAGAUACCAGAUGUGAGUUCAGUGUCAGUUCAGUGUCGUUUUGCGGAUCCGGGCCGCAUCGGCGGAGCGGCACAGGAGCGGGAGAAAUUCAAACUCAGCGCGAGGACCAACUGACAUCUGCUGAAUCUGCGCUUCAGGGCUGCUGAGGGCUGGGGACCUGAGAUAAGGUGUAAUCAUUUACCCAUCAAAUCACCUAACAAGGAUCAGCCUGGAUCCUAACAGUACUUGAUGCACUGAGCAGUGACAUUAUACAUAGAGUAGUUAAGCAGGAUUUGGUAUCCGCAAAAUGGUUCGAGGUCCUCAUCCCUCGCCUCCCCCAGCACAGAGGAAAACUACCAAGGGCGGUACUCUCAUUAUAGGAGAUUCAAUUGUUAGACAUUUAAAAGUAUCUAAGAGUAAUGGCACAAUUUCAUGUCUUCCAGAUGCUUGCAUGCUGGUAGUCGGCAAGCGGCUCCCUGGGGCGCAUUGCCAAAGCAGGAACCCCGGCACCAUCGCCCUCCACGUGGGGAUGAGCUUUCGGGAGCGACCGGCCCCGUUCCACAGAGACAGGCUUCUCUCUGUGAACAUCGAGGCGGUGCUACGCUGAGACUGACUGUCUCUACCCAGUCACACCAGCCAAGUAGGCUGCACUGUAGUGGUGUUAAGUGUCCAAGAAUGCUCUCAUCAGUGGAGGCACAGCUGGCUGCAAAAAACGUCUGUGUCUGCAUGUUUAUAUUAUGUGAAUUAAAAAUGGUUUUAUUAUUAAAAUAAUUGUAUUAAUGCCUGUUGAUUUAUAAAUUGUUUAAUUGAAAUCAAAUUUUAUUUAAGUAGCUUAAUUAAGUAUUGCAUUUAUAACUGAUGGUAUUUUAUUUAAUUAGCUUAAGUAUUGCAUUUAUAAGUGAUGGUAUUUUAUUGAAUU